rnacentral:lncRNA from 1 species
UUUAAAUCUACAAUAUUUUUCUAAUGUUUAGGGCAAUUAGAUAAUAUCCUUUUUGUGAAGUUAUGCACUGUUUUUAAAGCCAUUAACCAUUGUUGUGGUGUUGAUAGCAUCCUGCUGGAUGACACAUAAGGAUCACUUAUAUUGUUUUCCUUCACAAUUUAAUUCAGUUUGUUAAUCCACAACUAAUCAAAAUUGUUCAACAGAUUUCAAUCAAACUUGCAUAGACUCUUCUUCAGUAAAUUAAGCUGUGCACUUUCUAUUUGGAUAAUGGACAUUUUUGUGAUUUUUAUGAUAUCCUGUAUCAAAACAUGAACUCUUCUGUUUCUGCUUAUGUUAUACUAGUCAACAAAAGAAACGAUAAAAAGUUAAAUCACUAAUUCUAUAUUUUUCAAUUUAAAUUUUCUGUAUAAAUUUAUUUCUGUAUUCAACAUCAAAAAGCAUCUGUUUUCCGAAACGAAUAUGACAAACAUCCAGAAUGUUAUUUUUUGUAUUUAAUUAAUUUCUCGCUGAAUCAAUGAAGCAUUUAAAUUGUUUGAUGACAAUAAUAAGGCUACUGCGUCAAGUUAACAAUUUGCCAUCUUAAAAAAUGGUGAAAAACAUAGAGAAUUUGAUGGCCAGAUUACUCCAGAUUAGCAUGAACAAGCUGUUGUUAUGGUAAGAUCUGGGAUGAUGUACACUGACAUCGCAAAACAUUUUCAUGGGGCAGGAAUACCAAUAUCAAGACUUGAUGAUUCGUCUUAGGCAAUCUGGCUCAACAAAUUAUAGACCCUGUAGCGGCGGACCCCAUGCAACAUCACAACGUCAAAAUUGCGUGAUACAUCUUUUACACUUCUGCAACCAUUUUGGAGGGCUGAAGCUCGUCGGUAUGGGUGAGAAUAUGUCACAACGGACGUACAUAGUUAAACAUUGUUGAUGUUAACUUGAACGAUUUGAGAGAUAGGGAUGCCAUUCAACAACAUGGUUUCACCCACGUUUUCCAACAAGAUAAUGCUAGAUGUCAAGUGGCAUGGACCUGUUUGGACUAUCUUGAGCAAAACCAUUUUUGAGUUCUCCCUUGGCCAGCAUUGUCUCCCAAUCUCUUUCCUAUAGAACAUUUAUGGGAUCAAAUUGGCAGAUCUUUUCAAUAAAGCAAAAUCCACUGGAAAUGAUACAAAGCUUUCAAAGAGGAGUUAUUAUCCCCCAAUCCAACAUUAAGACUUUGGUUGAAUCUGUGCCUCUUAGGUGUGAAGCUGUGGUAGCUUAGAGAGGUGGUCAUACUCGCUAUUUCAUUCAGGAAACUGAAAUGCCUGAUACUGACUUUGAUCCGUCCAUAUUCUGUACAGGAACUGUCGGGACUGUUUUUUAUUUUACUUUGUCCCAUAGAACAUUAAAAUAACAUAUUCUAUCUAUUUUUAAUUGUUUUCAAGUAAACGGUGAAAUAUUAUUUUUGAUCAAAGUGGUGUAUCGUUUCUUUUGUUGACUAGUAUAUUAUGUGACAAAUGGCAACAAAUGUCUUUCAUCAACCAUAUUUUAUCCUUCAGAUCACUGAUUGAAAUCUUUUUUUGUAAGAAACUGGUUCUAAGUAGAUGGGAGUGUUGUCAAUAUCUUAGAUAUCUAGUACCUCCCAUUUACGAAAUUUUAAAGCUUAAUUUUUCAUUUUAUUUGUCUAUUUGCAAUGUUAUUCUUUUCCCUGUUUGACAAGUUGAUUGUUUGGGGAGUAAAUUAAACAUAGUGUGUCCAGUAUUUUUCACUGAUAUGAAUAUUAUUGAAGCAAUUGAUAUAUAGUUUGUCUUAAAUGUAACUGAAUAUGUAAAUGUAAUCAUGUUUAUGAGAUUUAGACUAAGUACUGUGAAAGUACUUUAAUUCGUGUGUAUCAAUUUUCGUGGUUUGAGCAGUUUUGACAUGUUCAUGGGUUUUUAAAUUCGUUGAUUUUUGUUUUAAAAAAAAAAAAUUAAAAAAAAUAAAACCUUUAGAAACGAAGGUUACAAAUAGUCUGGAUUGAAGGAAAUUGCAAAGUAAACAUUGAGCCAUGUAAACUGUAGUGAUAACACUAAUUAACCCAUGAUAAAGUGAUCAUCAGAUUUAAUUCCAUCAAAGUUGUUAAUUAGGCCAUAAACAUGUCACCUAAAGAAAACAGUAACAUAACAAAUGCUAUAAACGUAUCUUGAAUUGUCAAAUGAUUCUUAUCAAAAUCAAGCCUAGCAUGAAAUUAUUAUUUCCCAUAUGUACUAGAACUAUGAGGAUAUAAAAUGAACACUUUAUCAUACUAGCAUAUCAAUACCGGAUAUCUGACUUUUAUCUAUCAAAAAAAUUUUUUAUGAGAAUUAAAAGAUCAAAAGUUAGGUUAUUAAAGAUUAAAUGGGUAUAAUCCUGCAUGCAGUUGUAGUUCUGUGACUGCUAUUAAAGUAUUCUCAGAUUUUGGGUUAUUCAAUGUAUUCUUUGAUCAUAUCAGUAGUCAAACCUACCGAUGGGGAUCUUUCCAUGUCUUGAAUUGGACAAUGGUUGUUUUAUUUCGUUGGACACUUAAAUUCGUGGAUAAAGUCAUCCACGAAAACCACGUAAAUUGGUACCCCACAAAUAAAAGUACUUUCACAGUAUUGUAAAGAAGCACAAUCAGGGUUGUUAUUUGAAACAUUGAAAAGCCUAAAAGUUUGAUGGGUAAAUGUUGGGAUAAAAAAGUCGGCUUGUGUUAUUAUCAGAAAGACACAUUCAGAAAACAGAUUUGCGUUUGUCAUUCAAAUUUGUAUGGCUAUUUGAAUUAUUAUGUUAAAGGAUAGAAGGCCAAUGAGAAUGGUGCAUGUUUUACAAUCACAUUUACAAGUUUUAUUGUGAAAAGUGUUUUAUCUUUACAUUUUGUUUCUUUUAUAGAAAUGAUCAUGUUUAAUGUGAUGUACAUUUUAUUGAUGUAUUACAUAUUCUUGUGCUUUAUUGCUUUCACUUUAUUAUAUACAUGUAUAUAGUUUAUUGUUUUAGAGGGGAUAUAUUUUGCUUUCAUAGGUCAAUUAACAGUUGAUGUGGGAGGAUGUAAAAUCAGGGCUCACUUAAUUGUUUUUAUUGAUAUAGGAGGAUCCUUGUAAAAUGGUGCUUUUAUUGUUUGCUUAACACUUUAUUGUUAUAGGAAUGAUGUAAAAUCAGGACUUGCUGAAUUGUUUAUAUUUUCCAGAUAUGAUGAUCUGUUGUUUAGAAUUUUUUGGGGGAAUUGUUAGUAAAUACGUAUUUGUUAUGUUAGAUAAUGCAAUUUUCUCUGCAAACAAAUGAAACGCAAAAGAAACAAACACAUUAUGCACAUUCUUCAUUUUGUACAAUAUUAAAGGUUAUUUUUGACAAACUAUGAAGAUGUGAAGUAAGAAGGAAAAACGUGCAUUUAAAACAAAUUAUAUCACUCAUGUUUUAAAUAUUGUUGUCACUCAGGUUAUUUCAGAUUUUGCAAUUUAUUGUGCUUUUAAACUUUUAUGGCUCAUAACAAAGGUGUCUUAUCUGAAAUAUUUUUGAAUUGAUAAGUUAGUUUUGAGUUGUUUUUUCAGUUUUUAGUUAAGUUAUAUGAAUACAAGGCAAAUAAUUAGUCUUGUUCUUUACCUAGGCUUAGUAAAUAUACAGUUUAUAUAUAAAUUAUUUGAAGCAUAGGUUAAUAGGGUUUACAGGCAAUUUGGCGUUAUUUUACAUAAUUAAUAUUAUAAUAUUAGAUCAUGUUUUACAUUAGAUCUUUUAUCAUCUAUUAUUAUAAUGUUGAAAUAAUUUAUGAUGGCUAUUAAAGGUUGGUUAUUGUAUUAAAAAACUAUGUCUUUCUAUUCCACCAAGGUGACACGUCUAUUGAUUUCUUAUUCCUUUUUCUUGUUUGCUUUGUUUCAUAUGCAUGCAUGCUAGUUGGAUUAGUUGAUAAAUUUAGUUGUUGUAUUAGCAUUUUAGUUUAGAAUUAGUUUAGAGAAUGGAGGAGGUGCAUUAAGGACUUUCUUACUUGCUUGACUGUCCUAUUGUAUCUUUUGUCCCUCUUUUACAAUAUAUGUACUGUAGUUUAUGUCAUUGUCAUGUAGGGCAGUAACAAAAAGGCUUUACUAAUUAGCCAAGUCAAAAAAUUUUAUUACAAUUUUGCUGUAUAGAUGUUAAAACCUGAUUAAAAAACAUAUAAAUUAUUUAAUUUCCACGAGGGAAGCAUGUAAUGCUGGAAUAACAUUGCCUUAUGUAUGCUCCAGGCCAAAAAUUAGAAAGCUCAUAAUAUAAAAUUUAAGCAACAUAUAAAAUCCCUUAAACAUAGUCUGUAUAAUUUCAUGAUGGUGUUUAUGAGUUGGCUCCUAACAUAUUUGUGUUGAGUUUUGUGUUUUAAUUAUAAUACAAAAAUAAAUGCAAAUUUUGAAUUAAAGUAUGAAUUUUAAGCAAAAUAAGACAAACACGAGCUCUUAUUGCACCUUCUCUUUUUGUAAUAAAAUACCAAUAAUAGUUUAGCUUAUACAUGUAUUACAAUUUGUAUUGAAAUAUUAAUGUUUCUUAUGUUUAUUUUUGUUUUCAUUUUAAUUCAAUUAGAUGGUGUUGGGACUUCACUAAUGAGUAAAACUCUGUAGACAAUGCAGAAAGCAUAACCUAUAGUUUGUAUGUACUAUUGACAGUAAGCAUAACCUAUAGUUUGUAUGUACUAUUGUCAGUAAGCAUAACCUAUAGUUUGUAUGUACUAUUGACAGUAAGCAUAACCUAUAGUUUGUAUGUACUAUUGACAGUAAGCAUAACCUAUAGUUUGUAUGUACUAUUGGCAGUAGUUUCUCUAUAUACACAUAUACAUAUAUGUGCAAGCUCAUCUUUCUAUUUCUUUACAUUUGGUGUUUUACUAGAGUAUAUUAGGUUCAUGGAGAUUUUUU